rnacentral:misc_RNA from 1 species
GAUGAAGAACGUAGCGAAAUGCGAUAAGUAGUGUGAAUUGCAGAAUUCCGUGAAUCAUCGAGUCUUUGAACGCACAUUGCGCCUCAUGGCAUUCCGUGAGGCAUGCCCAUCUCAGCGUUAGAAAAUAUUCUCAAAUUUUAGUUUUGUGCUAAAAUUUGGAUCAUGUCAAAGAAGCUAUUACUAUUAUUGUGAUCGCUCUUUGGAAAUUGAUAGGUCUUUGAGUUGCUACUCAUAGAACGUGAUGAAUCUUUCUUCGUUCUAUUGUAAUUCACUCUGGUAGUCCUAAAACUUGUAUGCCUGUGGCAUAUCUUGUAAUUUGACCUGAGAUUGGGUAGGGAUACCCGCUGAACUUAAGCAUAUCAUAAGCGGAGGA